rnacentral:SRP_RNA from 1 species
CUUCUUGCUAGGCCGGGCGGCUUAUCCUCGCCUGUUACCCAAAACGGAUAUCAGUGGGGGCCGAAGCCUGAGGGGCGGUUUGGCCUGCAAGUGCGGGUCCUGCUUUGACCGUCGAUGCUCUGUCCUCAUCGGCUCAUGUCUUCGUGAAUCGAGUCAGGUCGGGAACGAAGCAGCUCUAAACAUUGGCACGGGUGCCUUGAGGGUUGCGGAGCGGAGGAAAUUGCAGGGCUAAACCUGUGAUUGCUCGACUCAUCCACCCUCAGGCGCGCAUUAUU